UCAUAACGCUAGGGGAGCGAAGGCUGAGAAUCGGCUGCCGGGAGGCAGCCGGGACCCUUAUUACUUGAUCCGGACAAUACCGGCGAAAGGAAGCAGCAACUUCUGCAG
rfam:Firmicutes bacterium CAG:791 genomic scaffold, scf164